rnacentral:rRNA from 1 species
UUAAGCGACUAAGCGUACACGGUGGAUGCCCUGGCAGUCAGAGGCGAUGAAGGACGUGCUAAUCUGCGAUAAGCGUCGGUAAGGUGAUAUGAACCGUUAUAACCGGCGAUUUCCGAAUGGGGAAACCCAGUGUGUUUCGACACACUAUCAUUAACUGAAUCCAUAGGUUAAUGAGGCGAACCGGGGGAACUGAAACAUCUAAGUACCCCGAGGAAAAGAAAUCAACCGAGAUUCCCCCAGUAGCGGCGAGCGAACGGGGAGCAGCCCAGAGCCUGAAUCAGUGUGUGUGUUAGUGGAAGCGUCUGGAAAGGCGCGCGAUACAGGGUGACAGCCCCGUACACAAAAAUGCACAUGCUGUGAGCUCGAUGAGUAGGGCGGGACACGUGGUAUCCUGUCUGAAUAUGGGGGGACCAUCCUCCAAGGCUAAAUACUCCUGACUGACCGAUAGUGAACCAGUACCGUGAGGGAAAGGCGAAAAGAACCCCGGCGAGGGGAGUGAAAAAGAACCUGAAACCGUGUACGUACAAGCAGUGGGAGCACGCUUAGGCGUGUGACUGCGUACCUUUUGUAUAAUGGGUCAGCGACUUAUAUUCUGUAGCAAGGUUAACCGAAUAGGGGAGCCGAAGGGAAACCGAGUCUUAACUGGGCGUUAAGUUGCAGGGUAUAGACCCGAAACCCGGUGAUCUAGCCAUGGGCAGGUUGAAGGUUGGGUAACACUAACUGGAGGACCGAACCGACUAAUGUUGAAAAAUUAGCGGAUGACUUGUGGCUGGGGGUGAAAGGCCAAUCAAACCGGGAGAUAGCUGGUUCUCCCCGAAAGCUAUUUAGGUAGCGCCUCGUGAAUUCAUCUCCGGGGGUAGAGCACUGUUUCGGCAAGGGGGUCAUCCCGACUUACCAACCCGAUGCAAACUGCGAAUACCGGAGAAUGUUAUCACGGGAGACACACGGCGGGUGCUAACGUCCGUCGUGAAGAGGGAAACAACCCAGACCGCCAGCUAAGGUCCCAAAGUCAUGGUUAAGUGGGAAACGAUGUGGGAAGGCCCAGACAGCCAGGAUGUUGGCUUAGAAGCAGCCAUCAUUUAAAGAAAGCGUAAUAGCUCACUGGUCGAGUCGGCCUGCGCGGAAGAUGUAACGGGGCUAAACCAUGCACCGAAGCUGCGGCAGCGACGCUGAUGCGUUGUUGGGUAGGGGAGCGUUCUGUAAGCCUGUGAAGGUGUGCUGUGAGGCAUGCUGGAGGUAUCAGAAGUGCGAAUGCUGACAUAAGUAACGAUAAAGCGGGUGAAAAGCCCGCUCGCCGGAAGACCAAGGGUUCCUGUCCAACGUUAAUCGGGGCAGGGUGAGUCGACCCCUAAGGCGAGGCCGAAAGGCGUAGUCGAUGGGAAACAGGUUAAUAUUCCUGUACUUGGUGUUACUGCGAAGGGGGGACGGAGAAGGCUAUGUUGGCCGGGCGACGGUUGUCCCGGUUUAAGCGUGUAGGCUGGUUUUCCAGGCAAAUCCGGAAAAUCAAGGCUGAGGCGUGAUGACGAGGCACUACGGUGCUGAAGCAACAAAUGCCCUGCUUCCAGGAAAAGCCUCUAAGCAUCAGGUAACAUCAAAUCGUACCCCAAACCGACACAGGUGGUCAGGUAGAGAAUACCAAGGCGCUUGAGAGAACUCGGGUGAAGGAACUAGGCAAAAUGGUGCCGUAACUUCGGGAGAAGGCACGCUGAUAUGUAGGUGAAGUCCCUCGCGGAUGGAGCUGAAAUCAGUCGAAGAUACCAGCUGGCUGCAACUGUUUAUUAAAAACACAGCACUGUGCAAACACGAAAGUGGACGUAUACGGUGUGACGCCUGCCCGGUGCCGGAAGGUUAAUUGAUGGGGUUAGCGCAAGCGAAGCUCUUGAUCGAAGCCCCGGUAAACGGCGGCCGUAACUAUAACGGUCCUAAGGUAGCGAAAUUCCUUGUCGGGUAAGUUCCGACCUGCACGAAUGGCGUAAUGAUGGCCAGGCUGUCUCCACCCGAGACUCAGUGAAAUUGAACUCGCUGUGAAGAUGCAGUGUACCCGCGGCAAGACGGAAAGACCCCGUGAACCUUUACUAUAGCUUGACACUGAACAUUGAGCCUUGAUGUGUAGGAUAGGUGGGAGGCUUUGAAGUGUGGACGCCAGUCUGCAUGGAGCCGACCUUGAAAUACCACCCUUUAAUGUUUGAUGUUCUAACGUUGACCCGUAAUCCGGGUUGCGGACAGUGUCUGGUGGGUAGUUUGACUGGGGCGGUCUCCUCCUAAAGAGUAACGGAGGAGCACGAAGGUUGGCUAAUCCUGGUCGGACAUCAGGAGGUUAGUGCAAUGGCAUAAGCCAGCUUGACUGCGAGCGUGACGGCGCGAGCAGGUGCGAAAGCAGGUCAUAGUGAUCCGGUGGUUCUGAAUGGAAGGGCCAUCGCUCAACGGAUAAAAGGUACUCCGGGGAUAACAGGCUGAUACCGCCCAAGAGUUCAUAUCGACGGCGGUGUUUGGCACCUCGAUGUCGGCUCAUCACAUCCUGGGGCUGAAGUAGGUCCCAAGGGUAUGGCUGUUCGCCAUUUAAAGUGGUACGCGAGCUGGGUUUAGAACGUCGUGAGACAGUUCGGUCCCUAUCUGCCGUGGGCGCUGGAGAACUGAGGGGGGCUGCUCCUAGUACGAGAGGACCGGAGUGGACGCAUCACUGGUGUUCGGGUUGUCAUGCCAAUGGCACUGCCCGGUAGCUAAAUGCGGAAGAGAUAAGUGCUGAAAGCAUCUAAGCACGAAACUUGCCCCGAGAUGAGUUCUCCCUGACCCUUUAAGGGUCCUGAAGGAACGUUGAAGACGACGACGUUGAUAGGCCGGGUGUGUAAGCGCAGCGAUGCGUUGAGCUAACCGGUACUAAUGAACCGUGAGGCUUAACCUU